rnacentral:rRNA from 1 species
UACAGAGGUCCCGAGCGUUGUUCGGAUUCACUGGGCGUAAAGGGUGCGUAGGUGGUGAGGUAAGUCGGAUGUGAAAGCUCGGAGCUCAACUCCGAAAUGGCAUUGGAAACUACCUUGCUAGAGGGUUGGAGGGGGGACUGGAAUGCUUGGUGUAGCAGUGAAAUGCGUAGAUAUCAAGUGGAACACCAGUGGCGAAGGCGAGUCCCUGGACAACUCCUGACACUGAGGCACGAAAGCUAGGGGAGCAAACAGG